AGACUCCUACGGGAGGCAGCAGUGGGGAAUAUUGCACAAUGGGCGCAAGCCUGAUGCAGCGACGCCGCGUGAGGGAUGAAGGCCUUCGGGUUGUAAACCUCUUUCAGCAGGGAAGAAGCGCAAGUGACGGUACCUGCAGAAGAAGCGCCGGCUAACUACGUGCCAGCAGCCGCGGUAAUACGUAGGGCGCAAGCGUUGUCCGGAAUUAUUGGGCGUAAAGAGCUCGUAGGCGGUUUGUCGCAUCUGCUGUGAAAACUCGAGGCUCAACCUCGGGCUUGCAGUGGGUACGGGCAGACUAGAGUGCGGUAGGGGAGACUGGAAUUCCUGGUGUAGCGGUGGAAUGCGCAGAUAUCAGGAGGAACACCGAUGGCGAAGGCAGGUCUCUGGGCCACAACUGACGCUGAGGAGCGAAAGCAUGGGGAGCGAACAGGAUUAGAUACCCUGGUAGUCCAUGCCGUAAACGUUGGGCACUAGGUGUGGGGCUCAUUCCACGAGUUCCGUGCCGCAGCAAACGCAUUAAGUGCCCCGCCUGGGGAGUACGGCCGCAAGGCUAAAACUCAAAGAAAUUGACGGGGGCCCGCACAAGCGGCGGAGCAUGCGGAUUAAUUCGAUGCAACGCGAAGAACCUUACCAAGGCUUGACAUACACCGGAAACUUCCAGAGAUGGUUGCCCCGCAAGGUCGGUGUACAGGUGGUGCAUGGUUGUCGUCAGCUCGUGUCGUGAGAUGUUGGGUUAAGUCCCGCAACGAGCGCAACCCUCGUCCUAUGUUGCCAGCGGGUCAUGCCGGGGACUCAUAGGAGACUGCCGGGUCAACUCGAGGAGGCGGGACGACG
rnacentral:rRNA from 1 species